GGUGAAUAUCAGUGUUUUGCAGAUAACAAGUUCUCACGUGUUAGAAGAGAAAGUAAUAAAGUCUCUCUAACUGUAUCAGACAAAGAUGUGAUCCUAGAAACUCCUGCAUCCUCCUUGUUUGAAGGAGAAUCAGUGACUCUUCGCUGUAGGCAUCGAGAUCAGAGAAAGGAGAAGAAUGCUGACUUCUACAAGACAGACAGCUUAUUGAAAUGGACACAAACCAUCAAAACACAGUUGAAACGACCAUUUCUCUAAUGUCAGAUGGGAGCUCUUACAUGUGUAAAUUUGAGGACGAAGAAUCUGAACCAAAAAAACUGAAAAUGAAACAACGACCAAAGGCCCAACUGAUCAAAGGCUCUCCUGUAGGGGGCAGAGUGACCCUGACCUGCUCUGUGGGAUCGUCCUCAUCAUCAUCAUCUGGUUGGAAAUACUUCUGGUUCAGAGGCAAGAACACUUCUGAACCCCUGAACACACAAGAUUAUGAUCUCCUCUCAAAUGGACGAAUCAGUGUCUCAGGAGGAGGAGUCUACUGGUGCAGAGGAGGAAGAGGAGAACCAGUUUACUACACAGAGUACAGUGAUCCAGUCGUCACUAACAGGGCUGUUGUGACUCUGCAACCCGACUGGCCUGAGAUUUACUCUGGAGAGACCGUCACUCUCACCUGUGAAAUAAAAGAUGGAGGAGAGGCGGAGUGGGAGUAUGAAUGGAGAACACCCAGCUCAUACAGACCUCAGAACCCAAGAGGCUCCAUGAUUAGACCAUCAGACAGAGGAGACUACUGGUGUAAGGGCAGACUGAAAGAUGAAACCUCUUCAACAGAACGGAGCAACACUUUCACAAUAAAAUCCAAUAAACCUCAGCCUGUCCUCACUGUGUCUCCAUUAUGGCUGAGUCCUGGAGACUCUGUCACUCUGACCUGCAGUGUUGAACAUCCAUCAGCAGGAUGGAGGUUCUACUGGUAUAAGGCUGUUCCCAACCUGCCAGACAACUCCUACAGCUAUGAGCUUCUACCUGGUAGCACCCAUGGGACUGAACAGGAUUCCUACGUUGUUCAUGGACAGACGCACACAGCAGGAUAUGUGUGCAGAGCUGGAAGAGGAGAUCCAGUGUUUUACUCUUUGUAUAGUGAACCUAAGUUCGUCUGGUCUGGAGGUUUUCAUUCAGCAGCUUCUCUCACAGUGAGUCCUGACAGAGUUCAGCACUUCAGCAAAGAGUCAGUGUCACUGAGCUGUGAGGGAAACUCUACUGAGUGGAGAGUGAGGAGGUUUACUGAACCUGACUACCUGACAUCCUGUUCUCUCUGGGGGACAAUGACUGGAUCUACAUGCAACAUGGACCGUUACUGGUUUAGUGGAGUGUACUGGUGUGAGUCUGAAACAGGAGAGUUCAGCAAUGCAGCCAACAUCACUAUACAGAACGGUGGUGUUAUCCUGGUGAGCCCUGUCCAUCCUGUGACUGAGGGACAUUCUGUCACUCUUGGCUGCAAGUUGAAGACAGAAAAGGCUCUUUAUAAUGUGGAUUUCUAUAAAAAUGACAAACUCAUCCAAAGUCAUACCAGCGGGGAGCUUUUUAUCUCUGCAGUUACAAAGUCAGAUGAAGGCUUUUAUUAUUGUAAAGGAACAGAUUCACCACAAGCUUCGGGAGUUUGACUUCAGCACAGAGUUGGUUAUCAGUAAAAUAUUCUGAAGAUGCAGCAGAAAGCUCUUCAUUUCCCGUGCUGCUGAUUGUUGGUCUGGUUUGUGGAGUUUUACUGAUUAUUCUCCUGCUGCUGUUUCUGUUUCGCUACAGAAAGUCAAAAGUUUCAAGCCUCAUGAGGU